rnacentral:rRNA from 1 species
UACGUAGGGUGCAAGCGUUGUCCGGAAUUAUUGGGCGUAAAGAGCGUGUAGGCGGCCCGAUUAGUCCGCUGUGAAAGUCCAGGGCUCAACCCUGGAAUGCCGGUGGAUACUGUCGGGCUAGAGUCCGGAAGGGGCGAGUGGAAUUCCCGGUGUAGCGGUGAAAUGCGCAGAUAUCAGGAGGAACACCAAUGGCGAAGGCAGCUCGCUGGGACGUGACUGACGCUGAGACGCGAAAGCGUGGGGAGCAAACAGG